rnacentral:rRNA from 1 species
AGAGUUUGAUCCUGGCUCAGAUUGAACGCUGGCGGUAUGCUUUACACAUGCAAGUCGAACGGCAGCACGGGGCAACCUGGUGGAGAGUGGCGAACGGGUGAGUAAUAUAUCGGAACAUGUCCGGAAGUGGGGGAUAACGUAGCGAAAGUUACGCUAAUACCGCAUAUGCCCUGAGGGGGAAAGGGGGGGAUCGCAAGACCUCUCGCUUUCGGAGUGGCCGAUAUCGGAUUAGCUAGUAGGUGAGGUAAAGGCUCACCUAGGCGACGAUCCGUAGCGGGUCUGAGAGGACGACCCGCCACACUCUCACUUUUCACGGUCCAGACUCCUACGGGAGGCAGCAGUGGGGAAUUUUGGACAAUGGGCGCAAGCCUGAUUCUGCCUUCCCGUGAGUGAAGAAGGCCUUCGGGUUGUAAAGGGGCCACCGGAAAGAAAUCGCGCUUAUUAAUACUAAGUGUGGAUGACGGUACCG